GGCGAGGUAGCUCACCGGUAGAGCAGGGGAUUCAUAAGCCCUUGGUAGCAGGUUCGAUUCCUGCCCUCGCUACCA
rnacentral:tRNA from 1 species